rnacentral:lncRNA from 1 species
UUUCUUGUCGUGGGACAGUCGAAGGUGUUUGUGACAAAAGUGAAGACAGAAAAAAAAAAAAGGAUAAUAAAAUAUUGUAAUAACGCAUGUAGUUCUCCUAAUAUUGAAUUCAAUGACAGCUUUUCAAUAGAACUCUUAAAAAUAAAGAAAAAAGAAACAGGGUAAGACUUGAAUGAUCUGUUUUACAUCUCGGGACAAUACAACGACCUACAGAAGACUACAUAUCUAGAAUCCCGGGAGUAAAAAAAUACAAACACGUUUAAUUCAUGCUCGUAUUGGGUGUAAAAUCUACAAUCAUGAUAUUUAAAAAUUAUUCACCAGAAAUUUGGACAUCAAAGUAUUAACGGAAAUGAUAUCAUUGGGGAUUACGCUUUGAUAAAAUGCCUUGUGACAAUAAUCCUGGAAAAUGUAU